GAGGCUGGAAAAGAUCUGAAAAAACUAAGAGAAAGAGUCUUUUAACAGGUUUUGAAACUUCUGAAAGCAAGACUCCUCCAGACCAACCUCCCCACUUCCAACUCCAAAGGCUCUGUGACCUCAGCUGCUGUCCUACCUGCUCCUGCUCCGGAGCCUGUAGCUUUCCCACUGCUCAGCCAUGCUCCUGCUGCUCAUCCCAGUGCUGGAGACGGUUUUUGCCCUGAGUGGGACCAGAGCCCAGUCAGUGACCCAGCCUGACGUCCACAUCACUGUCUCUGAGGGAGCUGCUCUGGAGCUGAGGUGCAAAUACUCAUCUGCUAUUUCAGAGAGUCUCUUCUGGUGCGUGCAAUAUCCCAACCAAGGCCUCCAGCUUCUCCUCGAGUACUUUUCAGGGGCCACUGUGGUUAAAGGCAUCAAAGGUUUUGAAGCUGAAUUUAAGAAGAGUGAAACCAGCUUCCACCUGAGGCAACCCUCAGCCCAUUGGAGCGACUCAGCUGAGUACUUCUGUGCUCUGGUGACACACAGUGUCUGGGACUGCAGGGGGAGAUGA